rnacentral:rRNA from 1 species
AUUGAACGCUGGCGGCAGGCUUAACACAUGCAAGUCGAGCGGAGAUGAGGUGCUUGCACCUUAUCUUAGCGGCGGACGGGUGAGUAAUGCUUAGGAAUCUGCCUAUUAGUGGGGGACAACAUUCCGAAAGGAAUGCUAAUACCGCAUACGCCCUACGGGGGAAAGCAGGGGAUCUUCGGACCUUGCGCUAAUAGAUGAGCCUAAGUCGGAUUAGCUAGUUGGUGGGGUAAGGGCCUACCAAGGCGACGAUCUGUAGCGGGUCGGAGAGGAUGAUCCGCCACACUGGGACUGAGACACGGCCCAGACUCCUACGGGAGGCAGCAGUGGGGAAUAUUGGACAAUGGGCGGAAGCCUGAUCCAGCCAUGCCGCGUGUGUGAAGAAGGCCUUUUGGUUGUAAAGCACUUUAAGCGAGGAGGAGGCUACCUGGAUUAAUACUCUAGGAUAGUGGACGUUACUCGCAGAAUAAGCACCGGCUAACUCUGUGCCAGCCGCCGCAGUAAUAC